UGCUUUCGAACUGCUAGGUUGGCAGGCGCUGGGACCGAACGACGGGAGCGCACCCCGCCGCGGGGAUUCGAACCGCCGACCAUGCGAUCGGCAAGUCCUAGGCGCUGAGGUUUUACCCACAGCGCCACCCGCGUCCCUAAAAAUAGUACAGGAGAGCAAUGCAAAAGCCAUCUUGGCGCUCUCAAUAUUUCCUCUGCUUCCUUAAUCCCCUUUACCUGAGAACAGAC